rnacentral:rRNA from 1 species
AACGAACGCUGGCGGCAUGCCUAACACAUGCAAGUCGAACGAACCCUUCGGGGUUAGUGGCGCACGGGUGCGUAACGCGUGGGAAUCUGCCCUUGGCUUCGGAAUAACAGUUAGAAAUGACUGCUAAUACCGGAUGAUGACUUCGGUCCAAAGAUUUAUCGGCCAGGGAUGAGCCCGCGUAGGAUUAGGUAGUUGGUGGGGUAAAGGCCUACCAAGCCGACGAUCCUUAGCUGGUCUGAGAGGAUGAUCAGCCACACUGGGACUGAGACACGGCCCAGACUCCUACGGGAGGCAGCAGUGGGGAAUAUUGGACAAUGGGCGCAAGCCUGAUCCAGCAAUGCCGCGUGAGUGAUGAAGGCCUUCGGGUCGUAAAGCUCUUUUACCCGGGAUGAUAAUGACAGUACCGGGAGAAUAAGCUCCGGCUAACUCCGUGCCAGCCGCCGCGGUAA